AACGAACGCUGGCGGCAUGCCUAACACAUGCAAGUCGAACGAGACCUUCGGGUCUAGUGGCGCACGGGUGCGUAACGCGUGGGAACCUGCCCUUAGGUUCGGAAUAACUCCCCGAAAGGGGUGCUAAUACCGGAUAAUCUCUUCGGACCAAAGAUUUAUCGCCUUUGGAUGGGCCCGCGUUGGAUUAGCUAGUUGGUAGGGUAAAAGCCUACCAAGGCGACGAUCCAUAGCUGGUCUGAGAGGAUGAUCAGCCACACUGGGACUGAGACACGGCCCAGACUCCUACGGGAGGCAGCAGUGGGGAAUAUUGGACAAUGGGCGAAAGCCUGAUCCAGCAAUGCCGCGUGAGUGAUGAAGGCCUUAGGGUUGUAAAGCUCUUUUACCCGGGAUGAUAAUGACAGUACCGGGAGAAUAAGCACCGGCUAACUCCGUG
rnacentral:rRNA from 1 species